rnacentral:rRNA from 1 species
GACGAACGCUGGCGGCGUGCCUAAUACAUGCAAGUAGAACGCACAGUUUAUACCGUAGCUUGCUACACCAUAGACUGUGAGUUGCGAACGGGUGAGUAACGCGUAGGUAACCUGCCUGGUAGCGGGGGAUAACUAUUGGAAACGAUAGCUAAUACCGCAUAAUAUUAAUUAUUGCAUGAUAAUUAAUUGAAAGGUGCAAUUGCACCACUACCAGAUGGACCUGCGUUGUAUUAGCUAGUAGGUGAGGUAACGGCUCACCUAGGCGACGAUACAUAGCCGACCUGAGAGGGGGCGCGGCCAAACUGGGACGGAGACACGGCCCAGACUACUACGGGAGGCAGCAGUAGGGAAUCUUCGGCAAUGGACGAAAGUCUGAACGAGCAACGCCGCGUGAGUGAAGAAGGUUGUCGGAUCGUAAAGCUCUGUUGUAAGAGAAGAACGGGUGUGAGAGUGGAAAGUUCACACUGUGACGGUACCUGAACAGAAAGGGACGGCUAACUACGUG